CCUACGGGUGGCAGCAGUGGGGAAUAUUGCACAAUGGGGGGAACCCUGAUGCAGCGACGCCGCGUGGGUGAAGGAGUAUUUCGGUAUGUAAAGCCCUAUCAGCAGGGAAGAACAAUGACGGUACCUGACUAAGAAGCCCCGGCUAACUACGUGCCAGCAGCCGCGGUAAUACGUAGGGGGCAAGCGUUAUCCGGAUUUACUGGGUGUAAAGGGGGCGCAGACGGCAGCGCAAGCCAGGAGUGAAAGCCCGGGGCGCAACCCCGGGACUGCUCUUGGAACUGCGCGGCUGGAGUGCAGGAGGGGCAGGCGGAAUUCCUGGUGUAGCGGUGAAAUGCGUAGAUAUCAGGAGGAACACCGGUGGCGAAGGCGGCCUGCUGGACUGCGACUGACGUUGAGGCCCGAAAGCGUGGGGAGCAAACAGGAUUAGAUACCCUGGUAGUC
rnacentral:rRNA from 1 species